rnacentral:rRNA from 1 species
UGACCUUUGACCUCAAAUCAGGUAGGAUUACCCGCUGAACUUAAGCAUAUCAAUAAGCGGAGGAAAAGAAACUAACAAGGAUUCCCCUAGUAACUGCGAGUGAAGCGGGAAAAGCUCAAAUUUAAAAUCUGGCGGUCUUCGGCCGUCCGAGUUGUAGUCUGGAGAAGUGCUUUCCGCGCUGGACCGUGUACAAGUCUCUUGGAACAGAGCGUCAUAGAGGGUGAGAAUCCCGUCUUUGACACGGACUACCAGUGCUUUGUGAUGCGCUCUCAAAGAGUCGAGUUGUUUGGGAAUGCAGCUCAAAAUGGGUGGUAAAUUCCAUCUAAAGCUAAAUAUUGGCGAGAGACCGAUAGCGAACAAGUACCGUGAGGGAAAGAUGAAAAGCACUUUGGAAAGAGAGUUAAACAGUACGUGAAAUUGCUGAAAGGGAAACGAUUGAAGUCAGUCGCGUUAGCCAGGACUCAGCCUUGUUUUUACUUGGUGCAUUUUCUGGUUGACGGGCCAGCAUCGAUUUUGACCGCCGGAAAAAGAUUGGGGGAAUGUGGCACCUUCGGGUGUGUUAUAGCCCUCAGUCACAUACGGCGAUUGGGAACGAGGACCGCAGCACGCCUUUAGGCCGGGGUUUAUAGACCCGUUCGUGCUAGGAUGCGGAAAUGUCAGACUAUCGCCGAUUGGCAGAC